rnacentral:rRNA from 1 species
UACGUAGGGACCAAGCGUUGUUCGGAAUUACUGGGCGUAAAGCGCGCGUAGGCGGCUUUGCAAGUCGGGUGUGAAAUCCCCAGGCUUAACCUGGGAACUGCAUUCGAGACUGCAUUGCUAGAGUAUGGGAGAGGGAAGUGGAAUUUCCGGUGUAGCGGUGAAAUGCGUAGAUAUCGGAAGGAACAUCAGUGGCGAAAGCGACUUCCUGGACCAAUACUGACGCUCAUGUGCGAAAGCGUGGGGAGCAAACAGG